CUAUGGGGGGCAGCAGUGAGGAAUAUUGCACAAUGGGGGGAACCCUGAUGCAGCAACGCCGCGUGGAGGAUGACGCAUUUCGGUGUGUAAGCUCCUUUUAUAUGUCAAGAAAAUGACGGUAGCAUAUGAAUAAGCACCGGCUAACUCCGUGCCAGCAGCCGCGGUAAUACGGGAGGGUGCAAGCGUUACUCGGAAUCACUGGGCGUAAAGGACGCGUAGGCGGGUUGGAAAGUCAGGUGUGAAAUCCUACAGCUUAACUGUAGAACUGCACUUGAAACUUCUAAUCUAGAGUAUGGGAGGGGGAGAUGGAAUUAGUGGUGUAGGGGUAAAAUCCGUAGAUAUCACUAGGAAUACCUAAAGCGAAGGCGAUCUCCUGGAACAUUACUGACGCUAAGGCGUGAAAGCGUGGGGAGCAAACAGGAUUAGAUACCCUGGUAGUC
rnacentral:rRNA from 1 species